rnacentral:sRNA from 1 species
AUUAUAACUUAUAGCUCAACAACACAGCACAUCUAACUGGCACACACCAGUUUUAGAACCCCUCUGACAUUUAGUGACAUUUGACUAUUCCGUGCAGUUAGCACGAGACUUUUUCUUGGUCGGUAACUUACCACGGGGUGAACACGUCAGUUGAUCUUGGACUCAUGUAGAGAGAGAUAUUCACAGGACAAGAUGGCCACACAAAACUGAAUAAUAGAAUCAGACAAGGUCUGCCUAGAUUGGUUUUCAAAAACAUUCGAUGAAAGAGGUACAAUCAACAUGUCAGGUGUGAGACUAAGCUAUAUUGAAGACAGCCUGUUUUGGCGAUAUCAGGAGUUUGGUCCCUCUCUGAAUAACGCAGAAAGAAAAGUAAACAUAAAUGCUAAAGACAAUACCAAGGAGCACUACUGUAAAAUUAAAGUGUCUGGAGUGUGCAAAGAAAAGAUGAAGAUCAAACUGUCAGACAUUGAGG